UACGUAGGCAGCAAGCGUUGUUCGGAAUUACUGGGCGUAAAGAGUGUGUAGGCGGUGCUCUAAGUCUGUUGUGAAAUCUCCCGGCUUAACUGGGAGGGUGCGGCGGAGACUGGAGUGCUAGAGUGUGGGAGAGGUAAGCGGAAUUCCUGGUGUAGCGGUGAAAUGCGUAGAUAUCAGGAGGAACACCUGUGGUGUAGACAGCUUACUUGACCACGACUGACGCUGAGACACGAAAGCGUGGGUAGCAAACAGG
rnacentral:rRNA from 1 species